GAUACACCCUUAUGGGGCAGGACUUGCUUCAGUGGGGCUUUGGUGCUCACCAAGUCUGCCCCUUGAGUGUGUCUCU
rfam:Myotis lucifugus cont2.12400, whole genome shotgun sequence.